CCUGCUGUUCUGCCAGCAGUAGCCUACUUGAUCGUGCGUCACUGGCAACGGUGGGGUGCGGAGCUUCAAGGACAACGACCGGGGCGUCAUGCCUAGCUGGAGCCGCGAGGCGAAAGCGACACCUGCAAGCAUCGACGCGGGAGCCGGA
rfam:Marine metagenome 1096626428293, whole genome shotgun sequence.